rnacentral:rRNA from 1 species
CCCUUAGAUGUUCUGGGCUGCACGCGUGCUACACUGAUUACUUCAACAAGUGUUUUAACUGGAGAGUUUGCGUAAUCCUGAAAUGUUAUCGUGAUGGGAGUAGAGUAUUGUAUUUGUUAAUCUUUAACGAGGAAUUCCUAGUAAGUGUAGGUUUAUAAGUUGUUCUGAUUACGUCCCUGCCCUUUGUACACACCGCCCGUCGCUCCUACCGAUUGAUUGAUCCGGUGAAUUACAUAGAAUUUUGCGUUUUACAUGACGGAAGACGAAGUGUUUUAAACCUUAUCAUUUAGAGGAAGGAGAAGUCGUAACA